UCCUACGGGGGGCAGCAGUGAGGAAUAUUGGUCAAUGGGCUUACGCCUGAACCAGCAAAGUCGCGUGAGGGAAGACUGCCCUAUGGGUUGUAAACCUCUUUUGUCAGGGAGCAACGCCGGCUACGUGUAGCCGGACUGAGAGUACCUGAAGAAAAAGCAUCGGCUAACUCCGUGCCAGCAGCCGCGGUAAUACGGAGGAUGCGAGCGUUAUCCGGAUUUAUUGGGUUUAAAGGGUGCGUAGGCGGAAUGCCAAGUCAGCGGUAAAAUCGCGGGGCUCAACCUCGCUCGGCCGUUGAAACUGGCGU
rnacentral:rRNA from 1 species